AACGAACGCUGGCGGCAGGCUUAACACAUGCAAGUCGAGCGCCCCGGAAGGGGAGCGGCAGACGGGUGAGUAACGCGUGGGAAUCUACCCAGCUCUACGGAAUAACGCAUGGAAACGUGUGCUAAUACCGUAUACGUCCGUCAGGAAAAAAUUUUAUUGGCGAUGGAUGAGCCCGCGUUGGAUUAGCUAGUUGGUGGGGUAAAGGCCUACCAAGGCGACGAUCCAUAGCUGGUCUGAGAGGGUGAUCAGCCACACUGGGACUGAGACACGGCCCAGACUCCUACGGGAGGCAGCAGUGGGGAAUAUUGGACAAUGGGCGCAAGCCCGAUCCAGCCAUGCCGCGUGAGUGAUGAAGGCCCUAGGGUUGUACAGCUCUUUCACCGGUGAAGAUAAUGACGGUACCCGGAGAAGAAGCCCCGGCUAACUUCGUGCCAGCCGCCGCCGUAACAC
rnacentral:rRNA from 1 species